GCCUACGGGACGCAGCAGUCGGGAAUAUUGCGCAAUGGAGGAAACUCUGACGCAGUGACGCCGCGUAUAGGAAGAAGGUUUUCGGAUUGUAAACUAUUGUCGUGAGGGAAGAAAUUGACAGUACCUCAGGAGGAAGCUCCGGCUAACUAUGUGCCAGCAGCCGCGGUAAUACAUAGGGAGCAAGCGUUAUCCGGAUUUAUUGGGUGUAAAGGGAACGCAGGCGGUCUUUUAAGUCUGAUGUGAAAGCCUUCGGCUUAACCGGAGUAGUGCAUUGGAAACUGGGAGACUUGAGUGCAGAAGAGGAG
rnacentral:rRNA from 1 species